rnacentral:rRNA from 1 species
GAUGAACGCUAGCGGGAGGCUUAACACAUGCAAGUCGAGGGGCAGCAUAGGGUAGCAAUACUCUGAUGGCGACCGGCAAACGGGUGAGUAACGCGUAUGCAACCUACCCUGUACAGGGGGAUAACCCCGGAGAAAUUCGGACUAAUAUCCCGUAAUAAUAUCCGGAGGCAUCUUUGGAUAUUUAAAGUUCCGACGGUACGGGAUGGGCAUGCGUAACAUUAGCUGGUUGGUAAGGUAACGGCUUACCAAGGCUAUGAUGUUUAGGGGUCCUGAGAGGGUGGUCCCCCACACUGGUACUGAGACACGGACCAGACUCCUACGGGAGGCAGCAGUGAGGGAAUAUUGGUCAAUGGGCGCAAGCCUGAACCAGCCAUCCCGCGUGCAGGAAGACGGCCCUAUGGGUUGUAAACUGCUUUUCCAGGGAGAGAAACUUACGCACGUGUUGCGUGACUGACGGUACCCUGGGAAUAAGCAUCGGCUAACUCCGUGCCAGCAGCCGACGGUAAACAGUA